UAGCAGAGACGCCCCCCAGGCUAGAUCCAGCGGUAGGAAGAGGAGACGUCUGGCAGCCAGCCCAGGAGGACUGCAUUGGGAUUCUACAGGCUCGGUGCUGAGGGAGUACGAUCGUUCCGAAGCACGGAGCGGUGUGCGUCCUGUGGCGACCCCUGAGCCCUCCUCCUCUCCCUCGGUGGACGGCUCCGUGAGGAAGAAUCUCUUGGUGAGGAAGACUCUGUCUGUGGACGACCGGCUGCUUCACACACCACCAGACCAGCAGUGGAUCCUCAGCCGCCUCGACAAGGGCAAGAAGAAGCUGCGCAACAUCCAUAGCCUUGGAUCAACGGGGAGAUACGAGCCUCGUAAAAAGUCGGACAGUAAGAUCCAGCGCCUGGCACAGAGACUCCAGAGGCAGAGUGAUGCGGCGCUGAUCCGGGAAUUUCGACCUUUCCUCUUCCUGCCCGGAACGCCGGGAACAUCCCAGAGCCUCGACAGGUUAACACUGCCUGAGUCGUGAUGGAGAGACAGAGG
ensembl:lncRNA